AUGCUUAACACAUGCAAGUCGAACGGUAGCAGGCCUUCGGGCGCUGACGAGUGGCGGACGGGUGAGUAACGCGUAGGAAUCUGCCUCAUAGUGGGGGACAACGUGGGGAAACCCACGCUAAUACCGCAUACGCCCUACGGGGGAAAGCGGGGGAUCUUCGGACCUCGCGCUAUGAGAUGAGCCUGCGUUAGAUUAGCUAGUUGGUAGGGUAAAGGCCUACCAAGGCGACGAUCUAUAGCUGGUCUGAGAGGACGAUCAGCCACACUGGGACUGAGACACGGCCCAGACUCCUACGGGAGGCAGCAGUGGGGAAUAUUGGACAAUGGGCGAAAGCCUGAUCCAGCAAUACCGCGUGUGUGAAGAAGGCCUUAGGGUUGUAAAGCACUUUCAAUUGGGAGGAAAACCUGCCGGUCAAUACCCGGUAGCUUGACAUUACCUUUAGAAGAAGCACCGGCUAACUCCGUGCCAGCAGCCGCGGUAAUACGGAGGGUGCGAGCGUUAAUCGGAAUUACUGGGCGUAAAGCGUGCGUAGGCGGUUCGUUAAGUCAGAUGUGAAAGCCCCGGGCUCAACCUGGGAACUGCAUUUGAAACUGGCGGACUAGAGUUUAGUAGAGGGGAGUGGAAUUUCAGGUGUAGCGGUGAAAUGCGUANAUAUCUGAAGGACACNGUGG
rnacentral:rRNA from 1 species